ensembl:lncRNA
AUGAAGGGGGACCCUGCUACACCCUUUCCUACCAUACACCUGAUGGAUACUGACUGUAAAAUGGCAAUCAUAGGAGGAGGGCUCAGUGUGGUGACAGAAGAUGGAAUAGACGUGUGUCAGUGCACCAGCCUUGAUGAAGCCUUCAUAACAGUCUUCUGGAUGUAUUUUGUAUUCAACCUUGCAUAUCCAACACACCCGAGAAAGACACUGACUUUCCUUCAGAGGCACAUUCUCAACAUUAGAAGAGGGAGACAAGCACUGCCAGUAUGGUUGACUGGAAGUCUGUCAGUCCAGAUGUGAGGAAGACCUACAGAGUGAGUUUGAGCUCAGCAGGUGUGAUGGCUGUAGAUGCUGUGGUCUUGGAAAGAAGGGGGUCUUCACAGCUUUCUAUUCAGACAAAGAGUUUGCUGGAUUCUGUUCUAUGGACUGCUACUACAGAAUGAAUGAAUGAAUGAAUGAGUGGUCUAUCUAUCUAUCUAUCUAUCUAUCUAUCUAUCUUUUUUUUAACUUGAAUUGGCGACUGAACCUGAAAGCUAAAUAAAUGUUUUAGUGGAUAAAGCUGUGUCUGUUUGUUUAUGUCACUUGACAUAAGGUCACUAAAGUCUUCUGACUAAUUUUUAUAUUUGAGAAUUUAGUGGUUUUGUCAACUAUGCAAAACAAGGUUUUCGAGGGUAACACUUUACAAUAAGGUUUCAUUUGCUGACACUGAUGUAUUAACUAACAUUUUUUUAUGUAUGCGUGAGUGUUUUAUGGAUGUGUAUGCACGCAUCAAGUUUAUAUUUAUGUGCGAGUGUUUAAUAGGUGUAUAUGCACGGAUCAAGUUUAUAUGUAUAUGCAAGUAUGUCCAGUUGUGUUUGUAUGCAGCGAGUUUAUAUGUAUGCUCGAGUGUGUGUAGGUGUAUAUGUAUGGAUCGAGCUUAUACAUAUACGUGAGUGUCUGUAAGUGUAUGCAUGUGUCAAGUUUAUAUGUAUACGCAAGUUAUUCACAAGUGUGUAUGCAUUCAUUGCUAACAUUAUAUGUAUUACUAUCGAUUUCAUAUUAGUGUGCACGUGUAUUUCAUAUAUGUAUUUUUGAACAUCCAGUAGUAUGCAUGUAUAUGUGAGUAAUUUACAGGUGUAUAUGCACGUUUUAUGUAUGUAUUCAUAAGAGAAGUUUGAUUUAAAUCCUACGCGGCUCCUCAUACGUCUAGGUAUUUAUGACCAUGCACAUGUCUCUUUUAGAUUGGCAUUGGCCAAUCAGAUUCCUUGUUGCUUUUAGGCUGCACUACAUGUUUACAACCAAUAGUUUUUGCUGUUUUUGCUCUCAGGAUUGAAUUCAUUUCACAUAGAAUUUUCAUUACUUUAAUAAUGAUGAAUAUAUAUUUUCACUCAAUUCCAAAAAUGAACUUAAUUUCAUUAAAGCAUUUGUUUUAGUUGGGCUCCUGACCCUUGACUUUUUAACAUUAUUUUUUUUUUUAUUUUUUAUUUUUUUUUAUCAGGAUUGAAGCUAAACUCUGCAGGAAAAUGGUUCUCCCGUACUGAGUUUACCNUAUAUUUGAACAUUAUUUGAUUAGGUCAUAGUGUAAACUGCAAGUCUAAGAUAGUAAAAUAAUGCCAUUAUCAAAUAUGUUCAUGUAAAUAACGUUAGCAGUCCUGAUGACAGCAUCACACAAGUCAUGAGCAACUUUUGCUAUAAUUUCCCAUAGAGGAGAUUUUCUGCUUCCCUUUUAAUGCUUCACUUGCCUUCAUGAUGUCCUCUGAAAAGUCUAAGGAGUUUUUCUGCAAAUCCUCAGCGAUUUUGCGCCUUUUCACUGCAGAGAAAGUAUAUGCAAUUUUAUACCUGUUAGAGAUAUACUGAGUUGUUUCAGAUUGAAAACAAAAAUCACCGUACAUAACAAAAUUAUACGUAUAUAUUAGGGAUGGGACGGUUCGCGAAAAAAAAAAUCGAACCGUUCGGUUCUCCACACACGGUCCGGCACGAGCUAGGACCACGGUUCAACUUAAAUCUGACAACGCAUCUGUAAUAGGUUCUUCCUUCUUAUAAAUAACACGUAAAAGACAAACAGGGUUUGGCUAAUGUAUGUUUCUGUUGAUGGAUGCGCAUUCUGGCUUCCAAGUACAUUAUAACAACAGCGAUGAGAAAACUAAAAAAAAAAAAAAAAAAGAAAGAAAGAAAGAAAGAAAGAAAGAAAAAAAGAAAAAAAACUUUGACAAAACAUUCACUCUUGUUCAACGCGACUGCCCUGUGCUGGAAUAUGAGCAGUCAUUUAUUCCGUCAUUACCCGAGUGCUGAUAGCGCGCGCACAGGUGAGACCUUAAUAGCACACAUUAAUAUGUGUACUAAACUCAUUUAAGCUUUGCCAGUUUAAACAUUUAAAAGCCAGAGGACGCGAGUUCGCGCGCGCAGUGAGACGAUUUGUGCAUGCGCUCAUCCGAAGCGCGCAAAGCCGCGUCUCAGAACGCGUGCAAAUAUAAAGCUCUCUCUGGAGUAUUGCGUUUGAAUGGACAAAUUAACACAAAAAGUAUGUCAAAAUGCCCGUCUUGGUAAGUAUCCUAAAGCAGACAUAGCCGGCUGGACGUACUGAAUCAGUGCAUUCUCUUAAAGUGACAGUCUUAAUAUUAAUCAAACAGCAACAACAGAGAAAUCACUCACUGCUCAUGAUUGAAUAACAUUUGUUUCUUUAAUAAAGAUUAAUCUUUAAUUUAUACAGUCAAAUAUGCAAUGCUGUAUAACAUUUGAUUACUUUAUUCANNNNNNNNNNNNNNNNNNNNNNNNNNNNNNNNNNNNNNNNNNNNNNNNNNNNNNNNNNNNNNNNNNNNNAUAUGAACAAAGUGAAGAAAUUUUGUUUUGUUUUCUCACCCUCUUUUGUGCCUUCAGAUGCAGACAUCUCUUCUUCUCAAGUAUCUGAUGAUGUUCUUGCGUGCAGUUGGAAAUGAUGAUGAUGGUAAUGAGGAUCUGUAGAACUGUCUAGAGAUUUUAUAUCAGCCAACUGCAUCAUGUUACCAUAGCUUUACAUAUUGAGGGUGUGUCAUAAUGAGUGGUGAGUUUGAUCAUCUGUUGUGUUCUUCUGUGAAUGUCCUGGAGGGUGAAUUAGCUCUUACAGGAAAUGAAAGCUGUGUUUCA